AAAAGCAGAGCUAAGAUAUAAAGAUGUUCCUUACUAAGUUACUAAAGCAUCUUAAACUGGGAUCUAUCUGCAUCACAAUAUAGAAAUAAGUUACCAUUCGCAGAUAAUCGACUAGUUCCCCAAAAUUGGGGAACCAGUUGCACCAGAAACUGUUAGACCCAAAGGGAUAUUCAGUACAAUUAUUGUUCAAUUAUCAAUGAUUGGUACAACCGAGGGAAAAGUUGGAAAUUCUGUUGAAGGAGUCAGUCAUAAUUAACAUAGGUUGGGAACUGCAUGGUUAUUAAUAUAAACUGCAGAAAAAUGCACUCUUGGAUCAUCCAAUAGAUUGAAGUUGAACCCUAGAGGAAUCAAGUCUUAUUUGGGAUGGAAGUGGUCAAAUGGCAUCAAUUGGGACAUCAAAGCUACAAUGGGAGGAUGAGUUGGCCUAUUAACUUAUUCUUUUCACGAUCAAUGAUGGGGAGGCCCUUUCAAAGGAACAUGUCAAAAAAAAUCUCAAGCUUGUUGCACAAGGCAAUUUUGGCGGCAAUUACAACAAAAAAGCAUGAUUACGAAUCUGGUAUCAGGAUCCGGACAUGGCGGUUGUUCCUGUUAAGAAGAAAUCCCAGCAGAACCGCAGGGAGAAGUUACAAGUUGUUGGGGUCAGUCUCCUCUUCCUAGAGCAUUAGAUCUGCCAAACGACUGAUCUAAGACCAAGCGGCUUCGAUAUCAAUCACUUCAACAAAGGGAGACAGCUCAUUUCCAUCAAAACUUUGAGGAAAGUUUAUACAAGAUAUUGCAUAAGGAAAUAUAAGUUUCAAAUUCAUUUAAAGUAGUUGGGUCUGCAAUAUGAAAUGUCACUUUUUGAGACGAGAUUGGUUAUGAAUCAUAACUUAUGAUGUAUCAAUUUUUAAGAUCGUUUUAGGUCAAAGUAGGACCGAUCCAAACAUGUACACAUACAAUAUUGUUACACUUCCCUUCAAGGCAAGGCAAAUGAUUUAAUGAAGUAUGAUAUGUUUCAUCUACGAUCACAAAAAUUGUAUAAUAUAUACCGAUCGCGACAUCAAAAACGUAUUCCUGUUCAGGAAGUUUUGAGGGACGUGGUGUGGGUAUGCAUCAUUUGUCAUGUGAUCAUGUUUUGUUCGAUUGAGAAGUUCAGAAUCAAGUUUGUUACACGUCUUAUGUAUGUAUAUUGACAGAUGAUAAAGAGAAAUCGGUUAGGUGUUCAUGUACAA